rnacentral:rRNA from 1 species
GAAUCAACGCUGGCGGCGUGCCUCAGACAUGCAAGUCGAACGCGAAAGGUUCCUUCGGGGACCGAGUAGAGUGGCGCACGGGUGAGUAACACGUAGGUAAUUUGCCUUUGGGUGGGAAUAACUCAGGGAAACUUGAGCUAAUACCGCAUAAUGCAGCGGCUCGACAUCGAGACAGUUGUUAAAGCGGGGAUUCGCAAGAACCUCGCGCCUAAAGAGAAGCCUGCGGCAGAUUAGCUAGUUGGUAAGGUAAUGGCUUACCAAGGCGACGAUCUGUAACCGGCCUGAGAGGGCGGUCGGUCACACU